rnacentral:piRNA from 1 species
UAGAUAAUUACUUCUAUUAGUUGCCUUCCU